AUUCCAGCUCCAAUAGCGAAUACUAAUUCUGCUGCAGUUAAAAAGCUCGUAGUUGAACUUGUGGCAGGACAGAUCCGGCCGUUGGGCGAAUGCCCUUUGAUGCUGUGUGUCUCGUCUGGCCAUCCUCGGCAAUUUUUUAAAAAGGUUGUCGUCUUUCACUGUAAAAAAAUUAGGGUGUUUCAAGCAAAGUUUAUGUUGGAAUAUAUUAGUAUGGGAUGAUAAGAUAGGCUCUGGAUGCUAUUUUGUUGGUUUGCACAUUUAGAGAAUGAUUAACAGGGACAGUUGGGGGUAUUCAUAUUUACAUGUCAGAGGUGAAAUUCUUGGAUUUUGGAAAGAUGAACUACUGCGAAGGCAUUUACCAAGGAUGUUUUCAUCA
rnacentral:rRNA from 1 species